UGAAGGCGGUUACGCCAUGUUGCUUAACAUGAGUCAAUGGGUUAAUGAUAUUUCUGGUUAAACAGUUAUUUUUGAUUUUUAAUCAAUUUCAAUUUGCUUUUUAUAUGUUUAAUCAACAGUUAAAUAACCUAGUUCCAUCACAGUGAAAACAAUUUACUCGUCAGUAUUGAUUAAUCGUUAAAUCUGGAUCUAAAAAAUCACCAUUAUUUAAACCUUUAGCUUUCAUCAACUUUACCCAUUCAAGGUUUACUGAUCUCUCUAAUUACUGCUAAAUCAUCAAACUCAAAUCAGUUUUUUGUUGUUGCUGGUUUUUUAUGCUUCCCUUUCAAGCUCAAGGCUCGCCUUUUGAUCUUCAUCAUACAUCUUUGUCGUUUCUUAAUAUUUUGGCUUCACAUCUACAUCAUAAUAUUCAACAUGUAAGGUUACAAUCACAAAUGGUUCCUAGUUGUUGUUACCUUGACUGUGAAGUACAAUUGGAGUUGCAAUUAAACUGGCGAGCAAUUAAACAGACUCGAAGUUAGCCAACCAUUCAACACUUAAAUCAUUGAUUCAACCAGAGAAAUAAUCUUUCCGUUCAUUUGAUGCUUUCACUUUCUGAUAACUUUAAAUUUCAGAAUCACUCAUUUAAUGGCUGAACAUGAAUCUUGGUUAUUCACUUUACCCUAAAACUCCAAGUUGCUCAUCACUGAAGUUCAUUCUUGAAUCGCCCUUUUGUCCUGUUGAUACCAUCACUUGAAAAGGAUAUUGAUAAUUAUUGGAGCUCAAUAGAGCUGAGAUGAAUACGAGUGAACCCAAAAUUGAAAAUCAUUGACACAAAAGUAACUCAAUCAUAACCUCAUGAGUUUUAUUAGUGAUUCAAUCUGAUGACCAAUUUGAACCAGACUCAUCAUCAAUAUUUCAUGAAUUAUCAAGUCUUGGAUGGGAAGUUGUUCAGUGAAGGUUAAUUUUCUGACAAUUUUACUUUUUUUUGUUCCUUCAACUGUCAUGACGUUUAAGAUGAUGAGAAUGGUUAGGACAAAACCAUUUGAAUCCAUUAUUACCGAAUGAUAAAUGGACACUUUGGUCAACAAUUGAAAGUACGAGUUGAUUGAAGUUUAAUGUUCAACCAAAUGAUAACUCUUUUUUUUAAGAUAAUGAUGAGGAUGACAAUGAUUUAACAAUUGAAUCCGCGAAAUGCAUUGAAACCUAAUUGAACAUGAUGAGGAGGAGAAGGUAAAAAAAGAGUUUACGGUUGAUUGUAUUUUCAAAGUUGAAUUACUGAUUAAUCUAAACUCGGUUGAUUGUACAGUGGUUCAUCAUCAUCAGUCUAGUGAAAGUAAGAAUCGUAGUUCCGUUUAAAGCAUAAACCGUGAAAAAGAUGAUGAAAAAAGAGUUGAAAGAGUGAAAAGACAGCAAGAAAAUUACAUGAAAAUAAACGGUACAAUAGCAAUUACAGUCUCUUUGGAAGAAAAUUGUUUCACAAUUAGCUAAUUUCGCCCAGGAAUUUAUCUGCCUUUCAUGAUAAUAAUGGUAAUAAAUAAUAAGUUAACCUUUUUUUGCUCUUAAAAGAUGAACAAGUCUAUCAAAAUACCAAUUGAAUGAUAGUGGUUAAGGUUGCUCUGAAUUAUUUAACUGUAAGAUUGAUGGAGCCAAAUUUAGACAAUCAUAGUUGUAAAAAUUUAAUAUCGAUUGUUGAACAUUAACUUUAACCAUUUAUCCGGACAAUUAAUUUCCUCUACUCUGGACCUUCUUUAUUGUUGAACAUUUUGUCUAAAGUUAAGGUGAAAAAUGAUGAAUUUACAAAGUGUAAUCCAAACUGGUUAAGGAUGGAGAGGUUAACACACCAUGAAGAAAAGAAACAAAAAGUGCACUAAUUAACAAAGGUAAUGUAAUUAGCAAUGUUGGCAGUGUAAAGCUUGAGGAACAAGAUUAAGCACAAAGGUCUUGAAGGUCUUGGAGUCUCAUUUUUAAGCAUCACAACGUGAUAUUGAUGAUCAUUAUCGUUCAAUUUGAUUGCCAAGGGGAAGUAAAAUGGUAUCGCGAAAGCACCCAAAGAAUGAUGAUGAUGAUGAUGGUUAUGGAGUCCCGUGAAAGGUUUCAUCAAAAAACAUCAAUCAAAUAGUGAAGCGGCAACGUCGAAAAAUUGGCACACUUCGAUCAUUAAUUUUUUUCUCUAAUUUUUUCAGAUGGAAAUAAAUUUAAUGGAAAUAUCGAUCCAAUCACGCAACUUGGCGAAAAAUCUGUCGAGUGGUUCAUAAGUGAUUCCUCCUCAAAGUUAAUGAUUGAUCAAUGGGAAGAGGAAGGAACUCGAGAUGAAAAGCUAAAUUCUGUGGCUAUUUUCAGAUGUCUACAUGUUGACCUGCGAUGAGUACAUUUUAUCUUUCGUUGGUUGAGACAAUUUACGGCAAUUAAAUCCAUUUCAUAAAAUGUAAUUUCCGUUUCCAUUCGUAUCAGUUCAAGGGUUUAAAGAACACGAAUUAUCCGGCGAAAGAACAUUUGUUUUCGGAAAAAUCCAGGAAAUUUGAAUACAUUAUUGAUUAGAAAACAAUUGCAAGUUAUAUUAGUUAAUCAGAAUGAAGGAUGGAAAAAGAAUUAUCUUUUUCCUAUGAAUAAAGGAAGAAACAUUAUUUGUUAAUCUGUUUCUGUGUGAAAUAUGCUGUUAUGAUGAUACUUUGAUUGGCAAAAUUUACCGAUUGAACUCAUGUUAAAUGUUUAAGCUUGACUGAUUUACCAUGUAAAUUACCACAAAUCAACCAUUAAAAUAAAAAGAGUUGAUGGUGAUGAUGAUGAUGAUAGCUUGUUUCGCAUCAUCAAACUUACGGAAUCUAAAUGAAUAAACUGUCAACAGGCAAAGAAAGGUUUUAAUCCUUUUUACACCUCAAUAUUCACAAAAUUGGAUAAUCAUCCAAGCGCCAGGUUAAUCGAUCAUCACCAGCACCAGCCUCAUCAUUAUCACCAUCAAUGGAAAUGGUUCCCAUUUGGUGUAAAAACUGAAUCCAUCAAUUGUCAUUGAAAUUGAACCUUUAACAAUUUCAACUUCACUUUCAUCAUUCAACGCUUUAUGGAGUUGAAAAUUGUAAAAAUGGAUUCAACUUCCCAUGAAGGAUAAAUUUCACAUUCAAAAAAAUCUCUCGCACAACAUAUUAAUAUGAAUAAUUAUUUACAAUUAAAGGUUUCACUUUAACUCAAUUAA